rnacentral:rRNA from 1 species
UACGGGGGGGGUAAGCGUUGUUCGGAAUUACUGGGCGUAAAGGGCUCGUAGGCGGCCAACUAAGUCAGACGUGAAAUCCCUCAGCUUAACUGGGGAACUGCGUCUGAUACUGGAUGGCUUGGAUUCGGGAGAGGAAUGCGGAAUUCCAGGUGUAGCGGUGAAAUGCGUAGAUAUCUGGAGGAACACCGGUGGCGAAGGCGGAUCUCUGGGCCUUACCUGACGCUGAGGCGCGAAAGCUAGGGGAGCGAACGGG